rnacentral:lncRNA from 1 species
CAUGCGGAAAGUAAAGUAAUGUUGAACGCAUUAGUGUUAAAUGGCUUGCGUACUUGUAGUAAGGUCUUGUUCCACUACAUUGUGGAUAAAAAAAGGUGUUAAAUUUUGUUAAUUAAAUCUGAAUCCUCUUUAUAUUGAUUUGUCGUUAACAGAACAUCGUCUUGAUCAUUCUAAUCAUGUUUUAGUUUUGGCAUGUCGUAAUCUUGAUCACGCGGGUAGUGCCCCAGGGAUACAGUUACUGUUCAGCUUCAUUUAACGCAGUGCCGUACAAUUGAAAGCGUCUCAAUUAUUGAGAACCAGCGAAUUAGAAGGUGGUUUCAUCACUACCAGAAGGGAAGACAAUUGCCACAAUAAUACUCUGGGGGUUUGAACUCUGAAAUAGUGGUAUGUCCUUUUCUUAGUAACAAAUAACGCUAUGUGUCUGGUGCAUAAGGUUCCCGUCGGUAUCAC